AGUGGACUGACUAAGUUAAACAAGAUGGUCUUUAGCACAGUGCUACUAAUUUUGACUGUCUGCUGUGCAGGUCUUCAUGGGCAGACUCUGACAGAAUCUGGACCAGUGGUUAAAAGGCCUGGAGAAUCCCACAGAUUGACCUGUACAGCCUCUGGAUAUAACUUUGGUGGCUACAGUAUGCACUGGAUUAGACAGGCUCCUGGAAAAGGACUGGAGUGGAUUGCUUAUAUUAGCAGCAGUGGGGGAACCACUUACUACUCUCAGUCAGUCCAAGGCCGUUUUAUCAUCUCCAGAGACAACAGCAGACAGCAGCUGUAUCUGCAGAUGAACAGUCUGAAGACUGAAGAUUCUGCUGUUUAUUAUUGUGCUCGAGACUCACAGUGACUAAUUUGUUUAAGCAGCUGUACAAACUCCUACAGCCCUUUAUGCUGUAUUUAUCUUG